GACGAACGCUGGCGGCGUGCCUAAUACAUGCAAGUUGAGCGCUGAAGGUUGGUACUUGUACCAACUGGAUGAGCAGCGAACGGGUGAGUAACGCGUGGGGAAUCUGCCUUUGAGCGGGGGACAACAUUUGGAAACGAAUGCUAAUACCGCAUAAAAACUUUAAACACAAGUUUUAAGUUUGAAAGAUGCAAUUGCAUCACUCAAAGAUGAUCCCGCGUUGUAUUAGCUAGUUGGUGAGGUAAAGGCUCACCAAGGCGAUGAUACAUAGCCGACCUGAGAGGGGGAUCGGCCAAAUUGGGACUGAGAAACGGCCCAAACUCCUAGGGGAGGCAGCAGUAGGGAAUCUUCGGCAAUGGACGAAAGUCUGACCGAGCAACGCCGCGGGAGUGAAGAAGGUUUUCAGAUCGUAAAACUCUGUUGGUAGAGAAGAACGUGGGGGAGAGUGGAAAGCUCAUCAAGUGACGGUAACUACCCAGAAAGGGACGGCUAACUACGU
rnacentral:rRNA from 1 species